rnacentral:misc_RNA from 1 species
UUAAUAAAAAUAAGCAGACAAAGUGCAACAAGUAAUAACAGAUUAAUCCUUAUGAAUUAUUCUAUCAAGAACAAGAUCGAAGUACUGAGGUGUCAUGAGUAGAGUAGUAAAUACAAAUAAACUAACUAGUAUUACAAAAAUUUUAUGAGGAGAAAUAACAUAUUCCAGCAUGCCAAUCCUACAAAAGGUAUCUGGUAAAAUGACAAUUUUCUGCCUCCUAUGAUACCCUAAAUGUACACUUGAUAAAUCAGGAAUGAAAUGAUGCCCAUCAAGUAGCAUCAGAGAGUUGCACCUCUGCAAUUAUAAGCAUGGGAAGCCAUUGUUAUCGACAUUCGGUCAGAGGAAAAUCCCUCCUAAGCAGCAACUGCAAUCUUUUCUUGUUGCUUAACACCUGACAUUUUAGGCUUUGGAUCAACUUUCAUUUCAGGUUUCUCAAUUCCUUGAAUAUCAGUUAUUCUCAACUUAGUCAGUUCCUGGCGAUGUCCUUUGGUUCGGCGGUAAUUCUUCCUUCUCUUCUUCUUGAAGAUAAUUACUUUUGCAUCUAAGGCAUGCUCCUCAACAACUGCAUGAACAGCUGCAUCUGGCACUGUAGGCCUGCCAACAAUUGUUUGAGAGCUUGAUCCUAACAAGAGAACCUUGUUCAAAAUCAACUGCAAUAGGAAAACCAUGGGAGCAUCAACUAAAUUCAGUUUGAUGGUAAGAAUGUCAUAAAAUGAACCCUUUGUUUUUUUCUAAAAAAAAUUAUAGGCAAAUAUUCCAGGUAACCAUCUGAAAGCUACAGAAGAUGACAUAAAGAAAACCUCAUCAAUGCCAUCUUAGCCCUCAAAAAAGAUGCCUUCAUUCUUCUAUUAAAGUAAGGUACAGGGAAAUGCAUGCAUGAAAAAUUACUAAACAACAUGCCAAUGAAAAUAGAAGUGGACAUGGGUAACCAAACUUUAGUUCCCAUUGUGCAUAUGCGAGAACAAAUAAGGGACUUAUGGAAUUGCAAUUGCAUAGCAUCUGAACCAAUUUGAUAUUGCUCAGCCACAUUAAACUUUUCCCAGUUUUUCUUUUACUCUGAAGGCAUGAAGAUAGUAUAAAUACCAGUUUCCAAUGUUAGGAUCAGCCGCGUGUCUACUUCACUACCAUGAGAAUCCAGAAGUUUUGUGGAACUAGUUACAUAAAAACUCAACCCACGCCUUGUUUCCAAGCACACUGUGUUUACAUCACCUCAAUUUAGCCUAACAAACUCUUGAUCUGAGUUCCUAGUCCGACUAACUGAGACCCAGCUUGUGGACUGCAUUUAGGCAUACACCGAGACAUUGCUGCUUCAACAUAAUAUGCUCCAAUCUUUCAGUCAUCUAAGCAAUGCUGUUAUUACUUUUCAUGCAAGUAGUUUUUGUUCUCAAUAAGCUCUAGUUAGAGUCAACACCCAGCCAGUUCUCAUGAAUGCAUCAUUCAUAAUUCAUUGAUUUUGUCUAUCUGCUUAUACUCUUAAUUAGCAUUUUGGAAAAUAAUUUAACCUUGUGUUUGGAUAGGGAAUUAGAAUUUGAUAAUGCAUAGCUUUUGUUUAACAAAAGGCAAUACAAAAAUCAAACGCCUAAGAUGCCAAGCACCAACGCAGGCGAAUAAACAAGCGCAAAUGCAACUCACCUUGUCAUUUACUUCACAGAAUUUCAAUUUCUCGGUGAAAAUGCAAUCCCCAUUGCUCACCUUCAAUUGAUGAGAACCGAUCUGAACAACAACGAAAACAGGCUCGUAUGGUUUAAAGACACGGUCGGAUUUCUGGAGUGGUCCAAUCACUUUGCAUACAAUAGCCGCAGCCUCUUCUUCCUUCUCAUCCGCUGAGUACUCUCUUCUCAAAUCAGAACUCGUUGCCUCCUGUCCAUCGCUAUCCUCUCCCACCGUCUCUUCAUCUUCCUCAUCGUUCUCGCUUUCGUCGCGAUAAUUUGAAGAGAAAUGGCGAGGAUGGUGGUGAGGCCAGGAGGAACACCAGGUGGAGUCAGCGUUAGAGGAAAUGAGAUAGGAUCUGGAGAUAAGGAGGGCUUUGGCAGAAAUUUGAUUGGGGAGAGAAGGUGGAACUUUGAGUGGGCGAUGCAGUGUGGCAGGAUUUGAAGAGAGGAGAGCUACGAUUUCACGGAUUACGGUGUCGAAACACCGUUUCUGCUCCAUGGAUGUUGGUGAUUUGUGAGCGAGGGUGUGAAAAGCCCGAGCUCAGCUAGGGCAGUGCAGGGCAUUUCAU